AACGAAGGACCAAAGGAGACAAUCAUUAACUCCACCAAUCUCCUGACCAACCUCAGCCUCAGUGGAUAUCCUCACUUCCUCUGCACAAGACGGAGUUUCCUGAGGGACACUUCAGAUGUUCUGCUCAGACAAUCCACCCUCCAACAUUUUGCCAAUCCACAACGUCCACAAGGAAAAGAAGGACCGAAGGAGACAAUUAUUAACUCCACCAAUCUCCUGACCAACCUCAGCCUCAGUGUAUAUCUUCACUUCCUCUGCACAAGACCGAGUUUCCUGAGGGAGACUUCAGAUGUUCUGCUCACACA